ensembl:lncRNA
AUGGCUCUCCCGGGAGCACCAGGCUGCGCUCUCCGGACAGCCCGGCCUGUUCUGCAGGUAAAUCCGCUGCUCCAAGCCUGGCUGUGCCCGCAGAGCCAAACCCGGCCCGGGAGGGGAUGGAUUCGCCCUCGCAGCCAGCUCCGGCUGCUCCCCGCGCGGGAUUGGGCUGGGAUGCGCUGCCGCGGGAUGGAUGGAGCGUGGGGACACCGCGGAGGGAGCUGUGGCACUGCCCGCGGGACACGGGGACACGGCGACAGCGACACCGUGCAGGGAGCCGGUACCGCCGGGGCUGCGGGGAUGUGGGUGUCCCGGGGGACUGCAGGGACACGGGGGUGCGGUGGGGAGACAGGGACACGGAUGUCCCGUGGUGAGACAGGGACACGAUGUCCCGGGGGGCUGCAGAGACACGGGUGUCCCGGAGGGCUGCAGGGACACGGGCCAGCAAAGAAAUGUUUCUGCCCAGCCUCCCUCUUGGAUUCAACCAUGUCAAAACCUCCUUGUCUCCCACUGGUUUCACCAGCAGCGUGAGCUGGGAGAUCCCAGAUCCCAGGCUGAGCACCAGGCUGGCUGUGCAGGGAAGCCUGGGAGAGCUGGUGGUGGAACAGCAGAGAGGGGGAGUCGCUCCUUCGGCAGAUCCCAGGCAAGAACAGGGAGAAUCUGCCGGGGCAGAUCCGCGUUUCCCACUGCUGCCCAGAGGUGAGGUGGAUUUUUGAGGAUGCUCCAGCUCCAGCCACAGCGGCCUUCCACAGCCUCCCAAGCACUGCCAGACCUUCCCAAUCCAGCUUGAAAUUCAUUUGAUCACUGGCAAAGCCUUGUUGUUCAUUUCUGUGUUUGAUUCUCUGCUCAGGGGUUUGGUUCCAUGAAUGCUGGACCCUGGUAAAAAAGAUGCUGGGUUAUUUCUACCAAGAGCCCUUCACUGGUGUGGUUCUGCUCCGUAUUCCUGCACAGCCAGACAGUGCCUGGGUAUCCCAGCUGUUCCUUUAUCCCAAAAUACCCUGGAAGCCUCCUGCCUGCACCGUGCAAUGCCACAGAUGAGGACAGCAGGACCCACAGGUAGCUUCAGACAGCAUGAAAACCACCCAGCUCCAUGGUUAUAAAUGUGGGAGGCUUUGCUGAGCUCCUGGUGUGCACAGCCAGCAUGAUCCAGGCUCGGCUGUGGGUCAGGACAAGCCUCGGUGGCAGAGGCAGGACAAUGCCUGCCCACAUCCCUGUCCUGCCCCACAUCCCAGCCGGGUCUGGGGUGGAUUCAGCAGCACUCAGAGGAGAGCAGAGGGCAGGGGCAGAGCGGGGAGGAUGGACAGCCUGGUGAUGCACCAGAGGUAUGCAGACAGCAGGCAGAGGGAAAAGGGAGGGAGUUACAGAAAGAAAAGAGAUUAGCUAAGGAUUUCCAGCUAUCUCACAGGAAUUUGUGCAAGUGUUUGCAGCCUCUACAUGCACAGGAGGUAAAAUUUACCCACUGGCUUCUCCUGCCCCUCAAAACAGCCUGAAUGCCAGUGGGGUGACUUAAAAAUAACAGUGCUGGAGGCUGGGCUGUGCUCAGAGCAAAGCCGUGCUCAGCACGUGGCUGACAGCAGC